CUCCACCGGAAAAAGAGGAGUGGCGAACGGGUGAGUAACACGUGGGUAACCUGCCCAUCAGAAGGGGAUAACACUUGGAAACAGGUGCUAAUACCGUAUAACAAUCAAAACCGCAUGGUUUUGAUUUGAAAGGCGCUUUCGGGUGUCGCUGAUGGAUGGACCCGCGGUGCAUUAGCUAGUUGGUGAGGUAACGGCUCACCAAGGCCACGAUGCAUAGCCGACCUGAGAGGGUGAUCGGCCACAUUGGGACUGAGACACGGCCCAAACUCCUACGGGAGGCAGCAGUAGGGAAUCUUCGGCAAUGGACGAAAGUCUGACCGAGCAACGCCGCGUGAGUGAAGAAGGUUUUCGGAUCGUAAAACUCUGUUGUUAGAGAAGAACAAGGAUGAGAGUAACUGUUCAUCCCUUGACGGUAUCUAACCAGAAAGCCACGGCUAACUACGUGCCAGCAGCCGCGGUAAUACGUAGGUGGCAAGCGUUGUCCGGAUUUAUUGGGCGUAAAGCGAGCGCAGGCGGUUUCUUAAGUCUGAUGUGAAAGCCCCCGGCUCAACCGGGGAGGGUCAUUGGAAACUGGGAGACUUGAGUGCAGAAGAGGAGAGUGGAAUUCCAUGUGUAGCGGUGAAAUGCGUAGAUAUAUGGAGGAACACCAGUGGCGAAGGCGGCUCUCUGGUCUGUAACUGACGCUGAGGCUCGAAAGCGUGGGGAGCAAACAGGAUUAGAUACCCUGGUAGUCCACGCCGUAAACGAUGAGUGCUAAGUGUUGGAGGGUUUCCGCCCUUCAGUGCUGCAGCUAACGCAUUUAAGCACUCCGCCUGGGGGAGUACGACCGCAAGGGUUGAAACUCAAAGGAAUUGACGGGGGCCCGCACAAGCGGUGGGAGCAUGUGGUUUUAAUUCGAAGCAACGCGAAGAACCUUUACCAAGGUCUUGACAUCCUUUGACCACUCUAGAGAUAGAGCCUUCCCCUUCGGGGGGCAA
rnacentral:rRNA from 1 species